GACAGAGGAUGCAAGCGUUAUCCGGAAUUAUUGGGCGUAAAGCGUCCGCAGGUGGCAAUGUAAGUCUGCUGUCAAAGCGUCUGGCUCAACCAGAUAAAGGCAGUGGAAACUACAUAGCUAGAGUAAGGUAGGGGUAGAGGGAAUUCCUGGUGUAGCGGUGAAAUGCGUAGAGAUCAGGAAGAACACCGGUGGCGAAAGCGGUCUGCUGGACCUAAACUGACACUGAGGGACGAAAGCUAGGGGAGCGAAUGGG
rnacentral:rRNA from 1 species